rnacentral:rRNA from 1 species
AGUGAACGCUGGCGGUAGGCCUAACACAUGCAAGUCGAACGGCAGCACAGUAAGAGCUUGCUCUUACGGGUGGCGAGUGGCGGACGGGUGAGGAAUACAUCGGAAUCUACUUUUUCGUGGGGGAUAACGUAGGGAAACUUACGCUAAUACCGCAUACGACCUACGGGUGAAAGCAGGGGAUCUUCGGACCUUGCGCGAUUGAAUGAGCCGAUGUCGGAUUAGCUAGUGGGCGGGGUAAAGGCCCACCAAGGCGACGAUCCGUAGCUGGUCUGAGAGGAUGAGCAGCCACACUGGAACUGAGACACGGUCCAGACUCCUACGGGAGGCAGCAGUGGGGAAUAUUGGACAAUGGGCGCAAGCCUGAUCCAGCCAUACCGCGUGGGUGAAGAAGGCCUUCGGGUUGUAAAGCCCUUUUGUUGGGAAAGAAAAGCAGCAGGUUAAUACCCCGCUGUUCUGACGGUACCCAAAGAAUAAGCACCGGCUAACUUCGUG